rnacentral:misc_RNA from 1 species
AACGCACGAGACCUGCGGACCUGCGGAGGGAUCAUUAUCUAUUUUAACGGUGUUGGUUGCGGCCCCCGGGUGGUCGGAGGACCCCUGGGCGGUAGAGGUAAUACUUUCACGCGCCACAUGCCUUAAUCCUUUUUUUACGAGCACCUUUCGUUCUCCUUCGGUGGGGCAACCUGCCGCUGGAACCUAUCAAAAACCUUUUUUUGCAUCUAGCAUUACCUGUUCUGAUACAAACAAUCGUUA